GGCAGUUGCUUUCCAGAAGUACUGACGCAGGCAGGGUGGACGCCGGCGCGCGGGUCUCCGCUUGGCCCGUAGGGACGCCCUUUUCCCGGCGUCCCCGAGAGAAGCCUCCAGAUUUGAAAAUCAAUUCAGCUUCGGGAGUAAUUUCGCCCUUCCCACAGUCACGCUCCAAUCCGGAAUCGAACCUGGUCUUUGGGCCUGGUGGGGACGUGUGCGGAGGCCCCCACUUUGAGACGUACACCCGGCCGCCACAUGCCGCGGCUUUCUUUCAUUUACAAAAGAAAGAAAAAAAAUCCGCAACAAAAGGCAGAGCCGUGUCCGCUUAGGUGCUUUCAUCCCUCAGAGAAAGGACAGAUGUGCCCAUUGUCCAGCCCGUGGCAGUUAUGGCCGGGUCAGCGCCAAGCCUCAGCCCCAGGCAAGCGGUGGUUACAAUGAGAAUAGCCUCUCAGAGCCGGGGUAUCUGGACUCAGAUAUGGAAUAAAGUGUGUGUAGCCUGUGCUGGGCCAGACUCAGACUGUAGGUUUGCUUGCUGGGGCACCGAACUGCAGCCCACCCGUGGUGUUUCCAUUGCAAAUGCUCCCAAGCCCUUAGAGAGGCCAAGGCUGUGGUAGUGGUGGUAGUUGGGUUUCCAAGGCAAAAGUUUGGGCUGGCCAACCCUUUGGAAAAAGUCCCCACCGGCCCAGGCAUGAGUAGGCCUAUCUCUUUGCCCAGGUCCCUGCUACCACCAGGGCAACAUCCUAAUCCAGGUAGGUCAAGUUCAGUGGAUACAGUCAACGUGACUUCCUUGAAGGCGGCCAUGUCCUGGGACUGGUUAAUCUAGCUGGUUUUAUCACCAGAGGCACUCCCAUCCCGUCCAAACAAUGCAUAUGGAGGCCCUGCAAAUAAUUCAUCUCAAUGGAUUUCAUGUCUACUUGCAUAAUGAACAGUUAGGAAUUUAGGAACCCCCAGAGAAGAAAAGAUAUUUUGGGGAAAAUACACUGAUGUAAAGGAACUCAGAAAACACGAUUAACUCUUUAAACUUGUAUCUAUAUCUACCUAUACAUACAUGCAUACACACAAGCACAAAACAUAUAUUUCCUGCCUAGUAUAUUACAGUACGUUGGUGGAAAGCUGCAUCUUUGGUUUUUAAUUGUUUCCGUUCUCAUUUCCUACAGCAUGAGACCAAACAAUGGGUUAAAGUAGCAGGCAGUCUUUCAGCUAAACAGUUGUCCCCCCACCCCCGCCCCAAUAUUUUAAUCCCGCUGAAGUGAUUGAUUUGCCCUUAUGACAACUAUCUUCCCAAAAGGCAGUUUGUUAAAAGAAAGAAAGAAGUAAAUACCACCAAGUGCACAAAUUGUUCAUGGUUUUCUCUUUGUGUAGCUAAUUAGGAACUUGAUCUUGGAAACCCUCCUUCAUGAGAGGCACUCAGCUGAGCCUCUGGAGUCCACCUGAAGAAGGCUGGCAUCAGUUUCCUCUGUUUUAUCUACUUCUUGCCCUUCCAUAUCCCAAAGAGAAGAUGCUCUGUCAAAGGGCUGUCAGCUGGUGCCAUCCGCAACUAACUCCACGUUCUGGGAGUUGCCGAGGGCUGCCUGGGCGGCCAUGCAAGGACACCAGACCACUCCGCUCGUAUCUCUGGUUACUUCCUGCGCUGGGGAAAAAAGAACACGCUUGCUCUCCUGGGUCCUCGGGUAAACUACAGGCGGCUUCUCCUGGGUUGGAAUCCGUUUUGGCGGUCGCCUACUUCCGCGAGGGCUUUUUCACGGCUUCAAGCCAAGAGCGCUGAAGGGAGAAAGGGUAUACUGAUGCCGUAGGGCUGAGGGAGGGGUUCCAGGCUCCUGGGGUGUUCUUCUGCAGCAGGACCCCUCGCUGGCCGCGGCCAGCCCAAUUCCGGAGGAGUUGGCCUCGUCUAGCCAACAGUUCAGUGGGAUUUCUUUCUUGGACAUAACUUUAUAUCAUUGAAAUAGUCUACAAAAGACACCAGCUCAAGCCGCGAGGGCGUUGAAUUGUCCGGAUUUGGGGUGGCGGUUAAUGCUCCUCUUCUGGUGCCUCCCCCGCUGGGGCCCUGCAUUCCAUUAGCCCCACGCUGGGGUAGAGAUGCCAAGUUUAGGGGCUGGAGAGGACAAGGGGAAGGACGAGAGAACUCUUGCACCGACGGAUGUAGUUCCAAGCGACCCGAAAUGAGGAAAACCCAGAAGGGGCGGACGGAGGGCAAAGUCGGCCCAGGACGAUCUUUAGGCGCACCAUUCUCUCGCCCUGGAGGGACAGGGAAGGGCGGAAGCGGAGGGUGGCUGUCCAGCCGGGAGCCUCUGAUCCACGGGGCUUGGACCAGCCACCCUACCCGAGGGCGACUGAGGACUGGGCGGCCGAGCUCGCGGCCCACUUAGCUAAUGCCGGGUAAUGCCGACCCCGGCCCAAGAGCAGCAGCUGCACUUGGGAAGGAAAACUCUUUAAACAAAUCAUUUUGGUGUCUAAUCAAUUAGUGUUUGCGCAGUCAAGUACCGUAGAUUUAACAGAAUAAUCGUUACUGCCCUUGUCUUUAUUUGACCCGCAGACACGUAGAAGAUUUAAAAAUGAAACGCCGGUGUUCCGGGCUCCCCACCCGUUGCCUUCGGCUCCCUCUGGGGCCUGCUAGGCCAGGUCGGGGCUUUUGCUUUCUCCAGGCCUAAUCUCCUCUUUGCCUCCCUCUUCAACCCUCCUUCCCCUUCGCACUUUUCCACACUUUACCUUGUUUUCUUGCCCUUCCAGCCCUGUCAGCCUCCCGAGUCUCGGUCUCCUCAUCCCCCCGUUCUUUACCCCCGUGGCUGGCACGAGAAACGGCUUCUGAUUGUGGGACACCCAGGAUUCUGGGCGAGCGCACCUGCCUUUUGGCCUGAGAGCCAUCUGGGUGUAGAAUUAGGGACUCGCCAAGCGCCCAGUUGUCUUUUCCCUGGACCCUCACUCUCUUACCCGUUCCUGAACCAGCCCAAGACCCGAGGGGUCCUAUGCGAGCUCUUUGGCUUCUGUGGAGCUUGGAAAAGACUUUUACCUGCGGGCGGGGUCUGCCUGAGUCUCUCCCGGUAAAUGCAGUGACCCAGGGCGCAGGACGGGGGUUGAGAGGAAAAGCUGAGAGUAUAGCCUUGGUCCCUAAAACCCGUUUGCAGGGCGGGGAAUUGGGUCUAACGGCGGGAGGGAGGAUGUUGUGGGGGGAAUUCGUGGGAGGCUUCCCAGCUGACUGUUGUGUGGUGACUGCACUCUCUGAUGCAUGCUUCUCUGGGCCAGGUUAUCUCCCAAGGUCCAGGGGUGCAGCUAGGAGGUUCUCCAGGCGCUUCUGAAUUGCUGCUCCUGCACCUCCCUCCUCACCUGGUGUCUUUUUCAGGCCUAACAGGUGUGGACGCCUGUGUAUGUGUAGACAGUCUGGUUGUGCGCCAUGCCUGGCCCUCAUGCCACCAACGCUGGGUUUCAGGAGCCCCACCAGCCCUGAAUCGAGGCUCCACAGGGUUGGAAGGAUGCUUACCAGGGCCAAGAGACCUCGAGGUGGGGCUGCGGGGCAGAUGGACCGGCGGGGUGAGGAAGUUUGGGCCACCCGAGUGGCCAAGAACACCUCCACUCCUUAAUUCCGCUAAUCAUUUAGCUCAGCAGGGAGGAUGAGGUUGGAGGCUGAUGCACCCGGGUAGUGGGUUGGUUAAAUAAGAGGCUGUAAUUCUAAAAGGGGGAGAGGGGGAUGAGCUGGAGGUAAAGCUGCGUCUUCCUUUCCACAUUUGGGGCUCUGGCUGCCUCAAAUUGAGCCUGGAAUGUUUAUACGCCCCCAGAACUGCCUCGCAGUCCCUGGUCUCCAUCAACCACCUGAGAAACUUCACUCUCAACAAUAGAUGAUUAUAAUGUACUUGA